AUUAACUUGAACAAUUUUUAUUUAAUGUGACCUCAAAUCAGGUAGGACUACCCGCUGAACUUAAGCAUAUCAAUAAGCGGAGGAAAAGAACUAACAAGGAUUCCCCUAGUAACUGCGAGUGAAGCGGGAAAAGCUCAAAUUUAAAAUCUGGCAGUCUUUGGCUGUCCGAGUUGUAAUCUAGAGAAGUGUUAUCCGCGCUGGACCGUGUACAAGUCUCCUGGAAUGGAGCGUCAUAGAGGGUGAGAAUCCCGUCUUUGACACGGACUACCAGGGCUUUGUGAUAUGCUCUCAAAGAGUCGAGUUGUUUGGGAAUGCAGCUCAAAAUGGGUGGUAAAUUCCAUCUAAAGCUAAAUAUUGGCGAGAGACCGAUAGCGAACAAGUACCGUGAGGGAAAGAUGAAAAGAACUUUGGAAAGAGAGUUAAACAGUACGUGAAAUUGCUGAAAGGGAAACGCUUGAAGUCAGUCGCGUUGUCCAGGGAUCAGCCUUGCUUUUGCUUGGUGCACUUUCUGGUCGAUGGGUCAGCAUCAAUUUUGACUGUUGGAAAAAGAUCAAGGGAAUGUGGCAUCUUUGGAUGUGUUAUAGCCUUUGGUUGCAUACAAUGGUUAGGAUUGAGGAACUCAGCACGCCGCAAGGCCGGGUUUUAAACCACGUACGUGCUUAGGAUGCUGGCAUAAUGGCUUUAAUCGACCCGCU
rnacentral:rRNA from 1 species